AUCUUUGCGGGAGGGGCAGUAUCGCUGUAAAUGACGACUAACGGAUACGCGAUUAUUGCUAGUUGAAAACUACUCCAAUUCCCGUCUCGAUGCUUGAAAAAGCAGAGAGCAAUUUUUGUAGCCUUUCUUUAUAAAG
rfam:Plasmodium falciparum 3D7 chromosome 3